GGCGCAGCGCGCGGCGUCAGUCUUGGCUGGCAGACCUGUACUCCGUACUCCGUACUUCGUAGUCGCAGCGGCGCGGUCUUCGGCAGUCUAGUCAUCCACCGCCAUCCUGGGCCCCACGUGUUGCCUGACCAUUCCUGAGCCCAGGUGGGAGCCGUGGCUGAGGUGACGGUCUCAAAGUGGAAGAGCUUACUGUCACAGCAACUCCUUUGCAAGAUGCCCCGGCCAGGAAUAGUUGCUGAACACCCCAGGCCUGCUGAGGUCCCUCCUUGAGUCUCAUGUUCAAGCAGUCUUGUGAGUAAAGCACUGGCUACCCCUUUUCACUUACUAUCUUUUCAAGCAUGUUCUACCACCUUGGAAGGUAAGAGGUUAGUACCUUCUUCCAGAGCAGAGGGCAGGCAUUCUUGCUGUGCGUUGUGAAAGGGUAGAGUCCUGCGCUCCUUUCUUGUAGUAGUCCAAUGGCUCAUGCAGGUGCCUCUGACUCCCCUAUGGGAACUGGGGCUUGGGAGGGUGGUGGAAAAUGCUGAUGCUCUGGCUAUUGCUAUUGUUUUGAAUAAUCAGUGGUCCCUUGUCCCUAAUCGAGGAAUUUUGUAUUUUCUACCAGUGUCCAUGAAACUGGGAGGCGACCGUGUUAGCUGCCAGUUCCUGACAGCCACCUCUCACCAGUGGCUUCACUCUGUGUCCCUGACCCAGCACAUGGCACAAGAGUGCCUGCCAUCCGUCAGUGUUUCUACAGCAGCAAUCCCAAGAUGCUGGAGCUAGAGGGGACCUGACCUGAGAGAAGAUACCUUCAGUGGCUGCCAGGCUGUUCCUUGGAACCUGUGCAGGGAUGAGGCCUGCCUGUGUUAAUACACCUAGUGAGGAGUGGAGCUGAAUUUGAAUGCAAGCCUUGGCACCUUAAUUGAGCAAGUUUGAAACCUCGCUUGUUGCCCUUCUGGAAGGAGUCAGGAAUUUCCAGUUCUGGGCCUGGGCUGUGGGUCUGGCAGACAGACCUCUGGCCCUAGGUUUGGGUGCCAGGUUCUCUGCUUCCAGAAUGAGAAGCUUUGCUGUGCACCAGGACCUGGGCCCUUCUGGUAUCUCCUGAAUGAAAAACAAGGGAUAUUUAAUAAAUAUGGAUUUAAAUAUG
rnacentral:lncRNA from 1 species